rnacentral:rRNA from 1 species
UUGAACGCUGGCGGCAUGCCUUACACAUGCAAGGUCGAACGGCAGCACGGGAGCAAUCCUGGUGGCGAGUGGCGAACGGGUGAGUAAUAUAUCGGAACGUGCCCAGUCGUGGGGGAUAACGUAGCGAAAGCUACGCUAAUACCGCAUACGAUCUACGGAUGAAAGCGGGGGAUCGCAAGACCUCGCGCGAUUGGAGCGGCCGAUAUCAGAUUAGGUAGUUGGUGAGGUAAAGGCUCACCCAGCCGACGAUCUGUAGCUGGUCUGAGAGGACGACCAGCCACACUGGGACUGAGACACGGCCCAGACUCCUACGGGAGGCAGCAGUGGGGAAUUUUGGACAAUGGGCGCAAGCCUGAUCCAGCAAUGCCGCGUGCAGGAUGAAGGCCUUCGGGUUGUAAACUGCUUUUGUACGGAACGAAACGGUGAGCUCUAAUACAGUUUGCUAAUGACGGUACCGUAAGAAUAAGCACCGGCUAACUACGUG